CUUCAUUUGAAUUGGUCUAUAUUUGUUAUGCCAGGGCAUUUAAUAGCUUGCUAUGUGGUAUUGGCUUUUUCUAUUAUUGACUGCUUUACCAAACCCUUAAGUUGCUUACUUCCAUUUCAUUUAGUCUCUAGUGACUAUUUUUCUCAUUUAUUAGUCCUACAACUUUUACUUAUUUUGUAAACUCUCUAGAAAAUAUUCAGUAGUGUAGCCC
rnacentral:lncRNA from 1 species